rnacentral:rRNA from 1 species
UACGAAGGGGGCUAGCGUUGUUCGGAAUUACUGGGCGUAAAGCGCGCGUAGGCGGUGAUCUAUGUCAGAGGUGAAAUCCCGGGGCUCAACCCCGGAAUUGCCUUUAAUACUGGGUAUCUUGAGUUCGAGAGAGGUGAGUGGAAUUCCGAGUGUAGAGGUGAAAUUCGUAGAUAUUCGGAGGAACACCAGUGGCGAAGGCGGCUCACUGGCUCGAUACUGACGCUGAGGUGCGAAAGCGUGGGGAGCAAACAGG